AGUUGGCGGUGGCUUCACAACAGGAGGCUUUGGUGGUAGAGUUGGCGGUGCUGGUGUUACCGGCGGCGUAGGAUAAUACGGUGGUGUAGGGGUAACAGGAGGCUUUGGUGGUAGAGUCGGAGGCUUGAUCACCGGUGGUUUUGGUGUCGGUGUUACCGGAGGGGUAGGAUAAGGCGGCGGAGUUGGGGUAACAGGAGGCUUUGGUGGUAAAGUUGGUGGGGAAAUGAUUGGUGGUUUGGGUACAUAAGGUGGUGGCUUUACAGUAGGAGGCUUUGGUGGUAAAGUUGGUGGGGAAAUGAUUGGUGGUUUGGGUACAUAAGGUGGUGGCUUUACAGUAGGAGGUUUUGGUAUAUGGGGUGGAUAUACAAUUGGAGGCUUGACAACCGGUGGUUUGGGUACGGUUGGUGGUUUGACAACGGGUGGUUUGGGUACAUAAGGUGGCGGCUUUACAGUAGGAGGUUUUGGUACAUGGGGUGGAUAUACAAUUGGAGGCUUGACAACCGGUG
rnacentral:lncRNA from 1 species